GAUGAACGCUGGCGGCGUGCUUAACACAUGCAAGUCGAGCGAGAAGUUUUGAAAAGAUUCUUCGGAUGAAAUUUAAAAUGGAAAGCGGCGGACGGGUGAGUAACGCGUAGGCAACCUGCCCCAUACAAAGGGAUAGCAUUUGGAAACGAAUAUUAAUACCUUAUGAAACUUAACUAGUGCAUGCUAGGUAGGUCAAAGAUUUAUCGGUAUGGGAUGGGCCUGCGUCUGAUUAGCUAGUUGGUGAGGUAACGGCUCACCAAGGCGACGAUCAGUAGCCGACCUGGGAGGGUGAACGGCCACAUUGGAACUGAGACACGGUCCAAACUCCUACGGGAGACAGCAGUGGGGAAUAUUGCACAAUGGGGGAAACCCUGAUGCAGCAACGCCGCGUGAACGAUGAAGGCCUUUGGGUCGUAAAGUUCUGUUCUAGGUGAUGAAAACUGACAGUAACCUAGGAGAAAGCCCCGGCUAACUCCGUG
rnacentral:rRNA from 1 species